rnacentral:misc_RNA from 1 species
GAAAUGCGAUAAGUAAUGUGAAUUGCAGAAUUCAGUGAAUCAUCGAAUCUUUGAACGCACAUUGCGCCCGCCAGAAUUCUGGCGGGCAUGCCUGUUCGAGCGUCAUUUCAACCCUCGAGCUCCCCUUUCGGGGGGAGCCCGGCGUUGGGGACCCUGCGCUAACAACGCCGGCCCCGAAAUGGAGUGGCGGCCCGUCCGCGGCGACCUCUGCGUAGUAACAACCACUCGCACCGGGACCCGGGCGCGGCCACGCCGUAAAACACCCCACCUUCCGAAUGUUGACCUCGAAUCAGGUAGGAAUACCCGCUGAACUUAAGC